CAAAUUUCCUCAUCAGAUGUCUGAUGCAUUAGUCACUUCUUAGACUCUAAAUAAUCAUCAUAUCAUUUUCUAUACCAGUUUGUGAUAAAGAAGGGUUCCAAUGAUUUAUCAGCUUUAUGCAUGAGAUGCUACACCCUUCUGUCAUCAAGACUUGCUCUUUUAUCAGGCGAUUGUAGGUCAUCUUGAUGUUGUUAUUUACUCUCUGAAGUGAACUCAAUCAAACUCCAUUGUAUCUUCUUGAUGUGGUAGGAUUUUAACAUUGCUGAUGAGGUUGUCAUAAUUGUAUGCAGCUUUUUCCUCAUGGUGUAGAAAUUAUGGAUGAUAGCAUAGGCUUAGUCACGAAUUCCUUACGUGCUAGGAAUUUUCUGAAAAUUUUGCUUUUCCAAUCUGAAGUUCCCCCUACUUUUAUUCAGUAUUUUUUACUUACUUGGAAAGACUUUUUGGCUAUGUUUAGGGUCCUGAAGAAAAUCCGUGAAGUGCAUUAAUUGCUAUGAAGAUAAUUUCAAAUAUGCU
rnacentral:lncRNA from 1 species